rnacentral:rRNA from 1 species
AGUAAAAGUCGUAACAAGGUCUCCGUUGGUGAAACCAGCGGAGGGAUCAUUACUGAGUUUACGCUCUACAACCCUUUGUGAACAUACCUAUAACUGUUGCUUCGGCGGGUAGGGUCUCCGCGACCCUCCCGGCCUCCCGCCUCCGGGCGGGUCGGCGCCCGCCGGAGGAUAACCAAACUCUGAUUUAACGACGUUUCUUCUGAGUGGUACAAGCAAAUAAUCAAAACUUUUAACAACGGAUCUCUUGGUUCUGGCAUCGAUGAAGAACGCAGCGAAAUGCGAUAAGUAAUGUGAAUUGCAGAAUUCAGUGAAUCAUCGAAUCUUUGAACGCACAUUGCGCCCGCCAGCAUUCUGGCGGGCAUGCCUGUUCGAGCGUCAUUUCAACCCUCAAGCUCUGCUUGGUGUUGGGGCCCUACAGCCGAUGUAGGCCCUCAAAGGUAGUGGCGGACCCUCCCGGAGCCUCCUUUGCGUAGUAACUUUACGUCUCGCACUGGGAUCCGGAGGGACUCUUGCCGUAAAACCCCCCAAUUUUCCAAAGGUUGACCUCGGAUCAGGUAGGAAUACCCGCUGAACUUAAGCAU